GUCUACGGCCAUGCCACCCUGAACGUGCCCAAUCCCGUCCAAUCUCGGAAGCUAAGCAGGGUCAGGACUGGUUAGCACUUGGAUGGGAGACAAUGAAAGUGCUAAAGUUUAAGGAU
ensembl:rRNA 5S_rRNA 5S ribosomal RNA